rnacentral:rRNA from 1 species
UGGACGUAUCAGAAGUGCGAAUGCUGACAUGAGUAACGAUAAAGGGGGUGAAAAACCUCCUCGCCGGAAGACCAAGGGUUCCUGUCCAACGUUAAUCGGGGCAGGGUAAGUCGACCCCUAAGGCGAGGCCGAAAGGCGUAGUCGAUGGGAAACGGGUUAAUAUUCCCGUACUUCUUACAAUUGCGAUGGGGGGACGGAGAAGGCUAGGUGGGCCUGGCGACGGUUGUCCAGGUUCAAGUGCGUAGGCUUAAGAGUUAGGUAAAUCCGGCUCUUUUUAAGGCUGAGACACGACGUCGAGCAUCUACGGAUGUGAAGUCAUUGAUGCCAUGCUUCCAGGAAAAGCCUCUAAGCUUCAGAUUGUAAGGAAUCGUACCCCAAACCGACACAGGUGGUCGGGUAGAGAAUACCAAGGCGCUUGAGAGAACUCGGGUGAAGGAACUAGGCAAAAUGGUACCGUAACUUCGGGAGAAGGUACGCUCUCGACGGUGAAGUCCCUCGCGGAUGGAGCUAUUGAGAGUCGCAGAUACCAGGUGGCUGCAACUGUUUAUUAAAAACACA